GGUGGCUCAGUGGUAGAGUGGUUGCCUUGCAUGCAAGAGGCCCUGGGUUCAAUUCCUCAGCACCA
rnacentral:tRNA from 1 species